rnacentral:rRNA from 1 species
GCAAGGAAACUUACAACAAAGAGUCCCUCCCGACUGUUUACCAAAAACACAGCACUCUGCUAACUCGUAAGAGGAUGUAUAGGGUGUGACGCCUGCCCGGUGCUCGAAGGUUAAUUGAUGGGGUUAGCAUUAGCGAAGCUCUUGAUCGAAGCCCGAGUAAACGGCGGCCGUAACUAUAACGGUCCUAAGGUAGCGAAAUUCCUUGUCGGUUAAAUACCGACCUGCAUGAAUGGCGUAACGAGAUGGGAGCUGUCUCAAAGAGGGAUCCAGUGAAAUUGUAGUGGAGGUGAAAAUUCCUCCUACCCGCGGCAAGACGGAAAGACCCCGUGGACCUUUACUACAGCUUGACACUGCUACUUGGAUAAGAAUGUGCAGGAUAGGUGGGAGGCUUUGAGUAUAUGACGCCAGUUGUAUAUGAGCCAUUGUUGAGAUACCACUCUUUCUUAUUUGGGUAGCUAACCAGCUUGAGUUAUCCUCAAGUGGGACAAUGUCUGGUGGGUAGUUUGACUGGGGCGGUCGCCUCCCAAAUAAUAACGGAGGCUUACAAAGGUUGGCUCAGAACGGUUGGAAAUCGUUCGUAGAGUAUAAAGGUAUAAGCCAGCUUAACUGCAAGACAUACAAGUCAAGCAGAGACGAAAGUCGGUCUUAGUGAUCCGGUGGUUCUGUGUGGAAGGGCCAUCGCUCAAAGGAUAAAAGGUACCCCGGGGAUAACAGGCUGAUCUCCCCCAAGAGCUCACAUCGACGGGGAGGUUUGGCACCUCGAUGUCGGCUCAUCGCAUCCUGGGGCUGGAGCAGGUCCCAAGGGUAUGGCUGUUCGCCAUUUAAAGCGGUACGCGAGCUGGGUUCAGAACGUCGUGAGACAGUUCGGUCCCUAUCUGCCGUGGGCGUAAGAAGAUUGAAGAGAUUUGACCCUAGUACGAGAGGACCGGGUUGAACAAACCACUGGUGUAGCUGUUGUUCUGCCAAGAGCAUCGCAGCGUAGCUAAGUUUGGAAAGGAUAAACGCUGAAAGCAUCUAAGCGUGAAGCCAACUCUAAGAUGAAUCUUCUCUAAGCUCUCUAGAAGACUACUAGUUUGAUAGGCUGGGUGUGUAAUGGAUGAAAGUCCUUUAGCUGACCAGUACUAAUAGAGCGUUUGGCUUAUCUUUAAUAAAGCAU